AGUGAACGCUGGCGGUAGGCCUAACACAUGCAAGUCGAACGGCAGCACAGUAAGAGCUUGCUCUUACGGGUGGCGAGUGGCGGACGGGUGAGGAAUACAUCGGAAUCUACUUUUUCGUGGGGGAUAACGUAGGGAAACUUACGCUAAUACCGCAUACGACCUACGGGUGAAAGCAGGGGAUCUUCGGACCUUGCGCGAUUGAAUGAGCCGAUGUCGGAUUAGCUAGUUGGCGGGGUAAAGGCCCACCAAGGCGACGAUCCGUAGCUGGUCUGAGAGGAUGAUCAGCCACACUGGAACUGAGACACGGUCCAGACUCCUACGGGAGGCAGCAGUGGGGAAUAUUGGACAAUGGGCGCAAGCCUGAUCCAGCCAUACCGCGUGGGUGCAGAAGGCCUUCGGGUUGUAAAGCCCUUUUGUUGGGAAAGAAAAGCGGCAGGUUAAUACCCCGCUGUUCUGACGGUACCCAAAGAAUAAGCACCGGCUAACUUCGUG
rnacentral:rRNA from 1 species